UCAUACAGAGCCACACCUCCUUUUUGAGGAAUUUUAACUUUCUAUAUAACUAAUCAUGUCAAGACAUUUAUGACCUCUCCUCCCUUUAGCUCUCCUGGAACCUUGUUUAUACGUCUUCAUCUUUUCUAGACAAGAUGGUCUAGCCUUUGGUUCCCUAAGGCCUGUCCUCUAAAUUGUGAUUUUCAUGCCCUUCCUGAUAGUGAUUGUCUUGCUGCCUUUCCUUAGGCUGACUUCAUCUGGAAAGCCAAAGGUCCUUUCAAAGUCAGAUCCUUUUCUUGGUUAGUGAUUUGUAAUAAAAGGGUAAACACUAAUAAUAUGUCGCAGAUUAGGGGCUCUAUCUAGCUCUCUAUCCUUAGUAUGCGUUAUAGGCUCGAAGUUCAGAUAUGUGGUGGAUUUUCUCUUAUUUCAUUGCCUUGUCACCUGGGUUUAUGGAACAAACUUCUUCCAGUUAGCAAUUCUGUCUGGGUUCCCAUUGUAGGUAUUAUCGAUCUAAUACACUUUACUUUCAGAGGUUUCAGAGUAGUUCAAGAGGUGGAAUGUUAUAUCAUUAAAUCACGCAUGAUAUUGUGUGGGUUAUUUGGUUGUAGAGGACUGUCAGCAUCUUCUAAGACAAAUUGAACCCCCCAGAAUCUGUCAGACACCAUACACCUACUUCUCUUUUAGAGGUAGUUUCCUUAGAGUUUAGUGAUGUUCAUGUUAGCUUUGAUUCAGCUUAGGUAUG
rnacentral:lncRNA from 1 species